rnacentral:misc_RNA from 1 species
GUGAAACCGCCGUGUCCUGCCCCAUCUCCUUCCACCACCCAUACCUAAACGCCCACACUAUUCUGUUUUCUGUUUGGUGUUUUUUUUUCUGGUCGGCGUAUACGGUCUCCCAUCUCCUCUGGUGUUUCUCUCCGUCUCCGUCUCCGCGCCUUCCCUGUGUGCUCUGCAUGCUGUGCCUCACAAAGCAAACACACAUCGAGGGCGCAUAGGUGUGGCACGCGCACGCACCGACUCUUCUCCGUCUGCCCGUCUGAAGCUCAGGCUUUUGGGGGAGCCUCUUUAUUGUUGUUUGCUUGCGUGUCGAUCACCUUCGAUUUCGGGCCGUCGUCGCGGUGACAGGCGCCUUCCAGACUCAGUGCAGCGCGUAAACUCACAAACGUAAGCGAACACGAGGACUUGUGCCCACACCACCACCACCUCUUUCAGCUCAAUCUCCUGUUGCUUUUCUUUUUUUUUCUGUGCUGAUUCCGAGUCGGCGGCGCACUUGCAACGCCACAACCUGCUUUCCCCCGCACUCUUUGUUGAGUUAGAUUGAGAGAAGAGCGUCACACGCUACACAGGUGGCACAUCGAGAUCAGGAAGGGAAAGCUCUGGUACUUGUCUCUUGCGCUGCACCACUCGCCCCUUCUAGCUCGAACGAGCUGACCGUCUUUUCUCCCAUCCGCUGUGCUGCUCUGUCUCUCUGUGUCUUGUGCGUGUAUUCGCCAGUGUGCAGCUGCGGGCUGCUAGCUUCCGUCUCACUUCCAUAUUACCCCCACUGGGGCGUGUCAUCAGCGGCGCAGGCACGCGAGUCUUCAGUUCUUUCAGCUCCUGCCUCGAUCUCAGCGCACACCGAUGACGCAGUUUCACGCGCGUGCGCGUGGGAACGUGGCACCCAUGAGAUCGCGUGUCACUACCGGCAUCACAGCUGCUCUUCUCUCGCUGCUCGUCAUCGCUGCCUGCUUCGUGGCCACUGCAGUUUCUGCCACUCCUCCGGCGGAUGCUGAGGAUAGACAAGGAGCCACGCUGACGCUGCUCGGGAGUGCUACCGUAGCGAAAACGGCGCGACGUCAGACGUCCGUGCUCAGUCGAUUCUGGCUGCACAGCCGUGAAGAGCAGAACGCCUUCACCGAGACCCUCUUUGGGGAGUCGCUCACCAAGGUCAGCAUCGACACAAUUUCUGACAUUGCACGCGAGAUAACUCCACCGGCGGAUCUUAAGCUAGAUGCGAAUCCGCUCGGACCGCUCAGCCGGAGUGCCAUGCUGGCCGCGACUGGUAGCGGGGUGCAACUUGCUGCUAGCCGGUCUCUUCAGGAGCAUUUAACACUGGCCACUCAAGCGGACGCCUCCAAUGGGCAGCUUGUCUCCAAGCUGAGCGUGUUGUAUGCGAUGUCGGUAGCAAGGAUGAAUGAGCCACCGAGCGCGGCCGUCGCGCAGGCUCAAGACCCAGCAGCGAAGAUGUCUGCGCCUCAGCAAAACCACAGAGCCGCAUCUCCCGCCAUUACACAGCCGCUCAAGCCUCUGAAGUCAUCUGCGCAGGCGUCUCCCAUCGAGUCUCUUCGCUCCGGCGCUGCCGGUGUGGACAAGAGCCGUCUGAGGGUGCCCAGCACCGCGUCACGGUGGUUUGCGGCUUUGAAAAGGGGGGCGGAAACGGUUGUGCGUGCGGUUGCCGAGGCCAAAGCCGGUCACAGCGCCAUCAAGGAUGACAGCAGUGCCAAGGUGCUCGCCGCCAAGAAAGGCGCCGCCGCCUUGAUGCGUACAAUGGGAAACUACGUAAAGGAUACGCUAAUUGAUGUGAACAGCACCAGGGCUCUGAUCCCAAUCACCAUCGUCGGCAGCGGCAACACGGUGGUGAAGUUCAACGGAGAAGCCGGCAACAUGAUCGAGGUUGUUGUGCAGCUGAAGGACCAUCGCUACGACAAGUCCGUGAGUAGAGACAACUGUUACGGCAUGUAUUUACAAGUGGAGCUGCGCACUAGCCACAAGUUCGACGGCGGUGCCUACGACUCGAAGGGCACAGCAGCUGUUGUGGCCACGACGCAGGCGCACGAUCACGUUGGCCGAAACACGUGGAUAAGAAUGGAGAGCUCGGCCAAAAACAGCGACAUCGACGACAGCAGCCACCCAAACGUCCCGACGCAGGAGGAGGAAAGCAGCCGCUGGUCCGACUUCUGGGACGCCUUUGCCCCGAUGCUCGACAACAGCGCGAUGUGCAAGGUGCUGCAGAGCGUUUCCAUGCGUGUUGAAAAGGUCCAGGUAACGGAGCCGUACUACAUCAUUCUCCACUCCACCACGAUACCGUCACUUCAAAAACCGCAGAACGGCACGAGCGCGUCCGGGACGCAGGUCAGCAGAUUUGACGACUCACCCUAUACGUGCGAGCUGAAUCUCUUUUUCAACGAGGAGCCGGCGGCAAGGCUGGGGCGGCUGCAGUUCAUCUUCGCCUUUGUCCUGCCGCUGAUCGUGCUCUUUCUGCCGCUGCCCUUCACGAUGCGGAGGGCCGACCUGGUGCAGCAGUACAUGAUGGAAUCCGAUUUUGCGGAAUGGAUAUGGAUGUUGCCGCUGCUGCUGCGCAGUAAAAUGGUUGAAGCGCUGAAAGCGGGAAUCGAGUGGAUUUUGAGUCUCCGCUCCGCCUAUCAACAGCGCGUACUGCGGAAUCAGCUGCUGCGGCAAGAGCAGGCACACCAAGGCACAGUAGCGGCGCAGUCAGCCACCGAGCAGGAGCAGCCGUCACAGCAGCCAGGAGUGCAGCACUUGGGAUGGGGCGCGGCCGCCCCAAUGGAACCGCCGCUGGAGACACCAAACCUCACUGGCUUCCACGCAUCCGCGGCCGCAGAUGCACAGACGGAGCCGUCGCCGCUGCGGCAGCAGCACGAGCCUUGUACCCAAUGCCAGUUCAGCGAGGAGGAAGUCAGCUUCAGCGCGCGCAGCAGUAGGAGCACCUGCUCCACGCCCUCCCGAGCGUCCGCGGGGUCAUAUUCCGAUGAGCCACACGACAGCGCUCAUUGUCACCACCACGGCCACCACACUCACGGCGGAAGAAACGUCGGGGCCUUGAUGGCGUCUCACUCGCCGUGCUCCAGCGACGCGCUCAUGGAGGACGUAAGUUGCCGCUCGUCCACGACGGGCCGCACCCACGGCGCCCGCCGUCAUCGCCAUCAUGCGGAGGAAAGCUAUGCUGUGUGCGAAGCUGCUACGGCAGUGUCGGUGCAUGUUCCGCCUGAGACGGAUGCUGCUGAGCAUUGGUGGAAAGGCAAUCAGAGCGGACCGCACGCGCGAAGCAACGGACACGAUCUGCUCUUCACCACUGAGGAGCUAGUCGAUGCUGGGCGCAGCCUUACAACACGUGAGCAGCACCAGCACGUGGCGGGUGCGCAGCGGCCGACCGCAAAUGAUGCUAUCCAAACUGUGUCGACGCGACCUCGUGAAGAAAUGGAGGCUAUGAAGUCCUGUGGGGGCGCAGUCGAUGGCGUGCCAGCCGAAGGAGCUUCUGCAACCAUGUCCACCGGUAUCACUGCACCGUCGGCUGCAGCAGCAGAGGCGCGUCGGCGUGCGCCGGCAUCGAGCGCCGCAAACGCCGCGCCACACGAAGAGGAAGAGGAGUCAUUCUGCCGCAUAUGUCGCGAGGGGAGCGACAUCGCGCCGCUCAUCGUACCCUGUGCCUGCACCGGCUCUGUCCGCUUCGUGCAUGCCACGUGUCUUGACCGCUGGCGGAUCGAGAGCGCGAAGCGCAACUUGGCUAACGUCAAUCACUGCGAAAUCUGCAAGGAGCCCUUCCGCGUCAACAUCCAGCGGUCGACGUUGCUGUGGGAGAGCUCGCAGCAGAUUCUGAACGGCGUCUGCUUGUUCCUGGCCUGUUUUAUCAUGAUUGUAACGACGACGACGCUAACACAUGUCGUACUUGGUGAGAUGUCGUGCUCGGCGAGCUACCACCAAGUCGCCUACAGCACCAUGUUCCGCUUCGAGGGGAUCUCGCUGACGUUAUUUGUGUACUGCCUUGCAGUGCUGCUAGUGCUUUUCGCUAACCUCAUCGUCUACAGCUGGUUUCGCAGUCAGCCAGAUGUGGAAGAGUACGUGGAGGAGAUGCACAUCGUUCCUCCCUUCUACACGCGGCGCAACGUACUCCUCAUUGUGCUCGUGUGCCUCGUUCUUCUAGCGCAGGCGCAUGCGAUGGGAUACCUGCUCAAGUACUUCCUGUACAGAACAAGCCAUCUUGUUUGGAAUUGGGAGACGUCCCCGCUGAUGGGUGGCAUCCUCCUCUCUAUCUUUACUAUCGCCACUACCGCCUUCUGCGGCUGGGUGCGGGACAUAUACACGGUGCACGUUGUCGACCGCGACCGUCGUGAUGCGCCGGCGACUGAUGUCGUGAUAGUGCCCAUUGGCGAUGCUGAUCGUGCAGAGACAGCGGCAGAUAACAGCAACGAUGGUACUGCCCCUGCACCGCUGUCUCGGUCCAUCAUUGUGGCAGGCACGGCCGCACCUCCUGCGUCUCUAACAGGAGCGUCCGUCACGGCAGCAUCUCCCCCUCCGCCUCCAUUUCCCUCCCCUGCCACCCCUGGCGUGUCCCCUUCGUCGCCGACGUUACCCACGAUGCUGGACAGCGCAGCGCAGCAGCGUUCAGCAGAUGAGGAUCCGGAAUACACUCGGCACUUCGGGAUACCACCAGACCAGCGUGUCAUUCGCGCCUUUGAGUACUGCCCGCCGCGGCGGAAGGUGCCGCAGAGGUGAGGUGACGACUCGGCGAUGGGCAUCAGAGUGUGUGGGGGCGUGUGGGUCUGUUGCAGGAAGAGGCCAUAGCAGGCGAAGCAGAUGCGGCCUGCGGGGUGGUUGGCUGCGCAUGUAUACCUCUCCCCCCCCCAUACACACACGCCUCUCCUUCGCUUGCCUUCCACUGUGUCUGCGCACGUUGAGAGAAGGAUGCCUCCUGCGAGCACCUCAGCGACCCUUUUGCGGUGCUCCCCUUAAGCCCUCACACCCUCCUCCUCCUCCCUCAGGCCACUCACGUCCGUCACGAUGGCCUUUUUGUAUGCGCUCCUCCGUCUCCCUCUUUUUUGGUUUGUUUGUUUUAUAAGUAUUGCUGUUCUUUGCUUUCUCGCCGUGCGGCUUCGAUGAGGUGGUCGUGGGGGGAGGAGGAAGGAAGAGUGGUGUGUGGGCGUGUGGGUGGGUGUGGUGCAGAUGUAUGUGUGUCUCCCUCUUUCUCUGUUGCUUUCCUUUCUUUUUUUUUUCGGUGCUGCUUCAUUUUACCUUGACGCGUUGUUCUUUUUUGUUGUUGUUGCCUGCGCGCUUCUGUUCGUUUUCUUUUUUUUUUUCAGUGCUUACUCGUUGUCUGCAGAUGAUUCAGGCUUACGCAUCGUGAUGAAGGGAGACGGGACGACAGCGAUACCACUCUCUAUCUACCUCGCUCCAUCUGCCCUCGUGUUUCUUUUUCGUUGAUGCACUGUUAUUUUUGUCUCGUGCGGGGAAGGAGGGGAGGAGGGAGUUGAUGUCUCUGCUGGCGCCUCUGUGCUUCUCUGCCUCCCUCGAUGUGUGUGUGUGUGUGUAUAUGUGCGUCUGUGCUAUCACUUCCUCCUUUGCUGUUGUUCCUCUCUUGCCCCUCGUUGCAUCGAGGCCGUAUCGCGGCUCCGCCCGCGUUGCUGCAGAUCGUUAUUUGUCUCUGUGUUGCUGCUUUUAUUUAUUGUCAUCUCUUCGACUGCGACGGCCCAUCGCUCAACUUCGUUUCACUUGGCGGUCUCUUAUUAUGAACUCAACUGCCAGCAUACGGCGUGAUGGGGAGAUGAAGGUACGCAGUGGUUAAGGAUGCGCUGUAAACAAGAGGUGCUGACGGCCAACUGUGGCUCUCUCUCCUCCGUACCUGCUCUCCGUCCUACGCCAGCAAGUGAGUGCGCGCCGGUCCCUGCGGAGGUUUUUCCGUUAUUGGUUUCUUUUUCGUGUCGGUGUGGAUCCUUUGCUCGCCUUCCUCGGGACAAGCACGUGCCACAAGACCCGACGGAGGGAGGGAGGGACAACGGAGGGCUCCUUCUCACAUUCCUUUGCCCACUGCGAGCGAUAACCGCAUUCCACACGCCCAUGCGCCUUCCAGGCCCACCCCUUCAUGUCUCCACCCGGUGCGACAGGAAACUGGAAGGACGGCUGGCUCCGCGCUCUGGUCCGUGCACAGGCACGGACCUAUGCACACAUGUAUGCUCUUGUAUGGGGUACGCACCCUGUUCCCGCCGUCACGGGUCUCGGUGCAAGCAGAGUG